rnacentral:rRNA from 1 species
AUUGAACGCUGGCGGCAGGCCUAACCCAUGCAAGUCGAGCGAGCGGCGGACGGGUGAGUAAUGUCUGGGAAACUGCCUGCUGGAGGGGGAUAACUACUGGAAACGGUAGCUCAUACCGCAUACCAUCAGAUGUGCCCAGGGGGGAUUAGCUGGUAGGUGGGGUAACGGCUAACCUAGGCGAAGAUCCCUAGCUGGUCUGAGAGGAUGACCAGCCACCCUGGAACUGCGACACGGUCCAGACUCCUCCGGGAGGCAGCAGUGGGGAAUAUUGCACAAUGGGCGCAAGCCUGAUGCAGCCAGGCCGCGUGUGUGAAGAAGGCCUUCGGGUUGUAAAGCACUUUCAGCGGGGAGGCGUUACCCGCAGAAGAAGCACCGGCUAACUCCGUGCCAGCAGCCGCGGUAAUAC